rnacentral:rRNA from 1 species
GACGAACGCUGGCGGCGUGCCUAAUACAUGCAAGUCGACCUUAGUGGCGAACGGGUGAGUAACACGUGGGUAACCUGCCCAUCAGAAGGGGAAAACACUUGGAAACAGGUGCUAAUACCGUAUACUGAUGGAGGGACCCGCGGGGCAUUAGCUAGGUGGUGAGGUAACGGCUCACCAAGGACAAGAUGAAUAGCCGACCUGAGGGGGUGAUCGGCCACGUUGGGACUGCGACAAGGCCCAAAGUCCUACGGGAGGCAGCAGUAGGGAACCUUCGGCAAUGGACGAAAGUCUGACCGAGCAACGCCGCGGGAGUGAAGAAGGUUUUCGGAUCGUAAAACUCGGUUGUUAGAGAAGCGGUAUCUAACCAGAAAGCCACGGCUAACUACGUGCCAGCAGCCGCGGUAAUAC